AACCUGCGAAAGGCUCAUUAAAUCAGUAAUAAUCUAUUCUAUUAUUUAAAUUCUAUUUGGAUAACUGUAGUAAUUCUAGAGCUAAUACAUGCAAAAAACCUGAACUUUACAGAACGGGUGUACUUAUUAGACAUUAAAACCGAUUACAAUUUAUUGUAUACUUAAAAUGAAUUAAAAUAAGUUUAUGAAUCGCAGAUCAUUUUGUGAUGAUAAGAAUGAAUUUCUGCCCUAUCAACUUUCGAUGGUAAUGUAGGGGAUUACCAUGGUGAUGACGGGUAACGGGGAAUUAGGGUUUGAUUCCGGAGAAAAGGCCUGAGAGACGGCCAUUACUUCUAAGGAAGGCAGCAGGCGCGUAAAUUACCCAAUCCUAAUACGGGGAGGUAGUGACAAGAAAUAUUGAUAUUGGACCCAAAGGGUACAAUGAUUGAAAUGAGAACAAUACAAAAAACUUAACGACUAACAAUUGGAGGGCAAGUCUGGUGCCAGCAGCCGCGGUAAUUCCAGCUCCAAGAGUGUAUAUUAAAGUUGUUGCGGUUAAAAAGCUCGUAGUUGAAUUUCUGAAAAUAAUCUUGUGAUUGAUUUAACCGUCAUGAUCAAAAAUUAUUAUCAUACUUGGUAGGUGGAAACAUUUACCUUAAUUACUUUGAAAAAAUUAGAGUGUUCAAAGCAAGAUUCACAUCUGAAUAAUACAGCAUGGGAUAAUAUAAUAUGACAUUAGUUAAAAUUUGUUGGUUUCUUUGGCUAAUGUAAUGAUUAAAAGGGACAGUUGGGGUAAUUUAUAUUGGUCGGGGAGGGGUGAAAUCCUAUGAUCCUUCCAAGAUAAACUAGUGCGAAAGCAUUUUACCAGGAUGUUUUCAUUAAUCAAGAACGAAAGUUGGGGGAUCGAAGAUGAUCAGAUACCGUCGUAGUCUCAACCAUAAACUAUGUCGACUAAGGAUGAUAAAAUAUUAAAUGAAUGAUUUUUGUCGCACUUUACAAGAAAUUAUAAGUAUUCAGACUC
rnacentral:rRNA from 1 species